UAAUCCUGCCCAGUGACUAAAUGUUCAACGGCCGCGGUAUCCUAACCGCGCAAAGGUAGCAUAAUCACUUGCCUAUUAAUUGUAGGCUAGAAUGAAGGGGUUAACGAAAUAAAGACUGUCUCAAUUAGUUAAAUAAAAAUUAUUCUCUACCUGAAGAAAAGUAGAUAUUCUCGAAGGACAAGAAGACCCUAUAGAGCUUUAUUAUAAAUAUAGAGUUAUACUAUACAAAAAUUCGGUUGGGGCGACCCGGGGAAUAUUCAUCACCCCAUCAAACAAAGAUAUAUUAAUCUAAUUAAUGACCCUUAAUAGAUCACAAAAUCAAGCUACCUUAGGGAUAACAGGCUAAUCCCACUCAAGAGUCCUUAUCAAAAGUGGGGGUUGGCACCUCGAUGUUGGCUUAGGAUAUCUAAAUAGCGCAAAAGCUAUAUAAAGAUGGUUUGUUCAACCAAUAAUUCCCU
rnacentral:rRNA from 1 species